rnacentral:rRNA from 1 species
UGGGGAAUAUUGGACAAUGGGCGCAAGCCUGAUCCAGCCAUGCCGCGUGUGUGAAGAAGGCCUUCGGGUUGUAAAGCACUUUUGUUGGGGAAGAAAUUGUACGGGUGAAUAUCCCGUGCGGAUGACGGUACCCACAGAAUAAGCACCGGCUAACUUCGUGCCAGCAGCCGCGGUAAUACGAAGGGUGCAAGCGUUACUCGGAAUUACUGGGCGUAAAGCGUGCGUAGGCGGUUUGUUAAGUCCGUUGUGAAAGCCCUGGGCUCAACCUGGGAAUUGCAGUGGAUACUGGCAAGCUAGAGUACGGUAGAGGAUGGUGGAAUUCCCGGUGUAGCGGUGAAAUGCGUAGAGAUCGGGAGGAACACCCGUGGCGAAGGCGGCCAUCUGGACCAGUACUGACGCUGAGGCACGAAAGCGUGGGGAGCAAACAGG